CCCUUAGAUGUUCUGGGCCGCACGCGCGCUACAAUGAUGAAUUCAACGAGUUUAUAACCUUGGUUGAAAAGCCUGGGUAAUCUUUUGAACUUUCGUCGUGAUGGGGCUAGACCCUUGCAAUUAUUGGUCUCCAACGAGGAAUUCCUAGUAAACGCAAGUCAUCAGCUUGCAUUGAUUACGUCCCUGCCCUUUGUACACACCGCCCGUCGCACCUACCGAUUGAAUGGUCCGGUGAAAUCUUCGGAUUGAGACUUUGAUUUCUUCACGGAAAACGCUGUUUUAAGAAGUUCAUUAAACCCUCCCACCUAGAGGAAGGAGAAGUCGUAACA
rnacentral:rRNA from 1 species